CAGCAGCCACGGUAAUACGUAGGUGGCAAGCGUUGUCCGGAAUUAUUGGGCGUAAAGCGCGCGCAGGUGGUUUAAUAAGUCUGAUGUGAAAGCCCACGGCUCAACCGUGGAGGGUCAUUGGAAACUGUUAAACUUGAGUGCAGGAGAGAAAAGUGGAAUUCCUAGUGUAGCGGUGAAAUGCGUAGAGAUUAGGAGGAACACCAGUGGCGAAGGCGGCUUUUUGGCCUGUAACUGACACUGAGGCGCGAAAGCGUGGGGAGCAAACAGGAUUAGAUACCCCGGUAGUCCCUGUCUCUUAUAA
rnacentral:rRNA from 1 species